rnacentral:rRNA from 1 species
UACGAAGGGGGCUAGCGUUGCUCGGAAUCACUGGGCGUAAAGGGUGCGUAGGCGGGUCUUUAAGUCAGGGGUGAAAUCCUGGAGCUCAACUCCAGAACUGCCUUGGAUACUGAGGAUCUUGAGUUCGGGAGAGGUGAGUGGAACUGCGAGUGUAGAGGUGAAAUUCGUAGAUAUUCGCAAGAACACCAGUGGCGAAGGCGGCUCACUGGCCCGAUACUGACGCUGAGGCACGAAAGCGUGGGGAGCAAACAGG